AUUGAACGCUGGCGGCAUGAUUUACACAUGCAAGUCGAACGGUAACAGGCCGCAAGGUGCUGACGAGUGGCGAACGGGUGCGUAAUGCAUCGGAACGUGCCCCGUCGUGGUGGAUAACUACUCGAAUGAGUAGCUAAUACCUCAUACGAUCUAUGGAUGAAAGCGGGGGACCGUAAUGCCUCGCGCGAUUUUAGCUGUCGCUGUCAGAUUAGGUAGUUGGUGGGGUAAAGGCUCACCAAGCCAACGAUCUGUAGCUGGUCUGAGAGGACGACCAGCCACACUGGGACUGAGACACGGCCCAGACUCCUACGGGAGGCAGCAGUGGGGAAUUUUGGACAAUGGGCGCAAGCCUGAUCCAGCAAUGCCGCGUGCAGGAAGAAGGCCUUCGGGUUGUAAACUGCUUUUGUACGGAACGAAACGGCUCUGGUUAAUACACGGGGCUAAUGACGGUACCGUAAGAAUAAGCACCGGCUAACUACGUG
rnacentral:rRNA from 1 species